GGAGAGAUGCUCGAGUGGUUGAAGAGGCACGCCUGGAAAGUGUGUAUACCCCAAAAGGGUAUCAUGGGUUCGAAUCCCAUUCUCUCCG
rnacentral:tRNA from 1 species